UAUAAACAAAACGUUUGUUGCUGUGCCUGUGGUGGUCUAGUUCAGUGUAUAGAUGUGACUUAUUCUUAUUCUGUCUUCUAUCUUUCAGCGUUCAUGUUUUCAUGGUCGUACGGCAUCCUGACUGUAACCAUCGUCGAAUUAAUGUGGCCACUCACAACACAAAUUUUCAGCAGAAUCCGAAAUAAUCCACGACGAAGAUAACUAUGGAAUUUCCACAAGAAGAAAACGUAUCAUUAACAUUUUGCACGACCACUAAGGAAGAAGAAGAGUUCAUUCUAUCUGUAUCACCCAGUUUUUAUGAAGAAGGAUUUGAAGACGACGAAGUGUUUCUGAAUACUUCUCAAAGUAUUGAUAUGGAAGCAUCUGAGAUUCCUCCACGCAUUCGUAGAACUUCUGAUGUUAUUGAUUGUGUUGGUGGACCAAUGUCUCCAGCAUGUAUUAAACGUCAUAGUUUUCCAUCAACAUCUGGUGAACUUGUUUAUUCUGCUACAUCAAAAGCUACAGACAUUAAAGAAGGGAAUCAAUCUAGGCGUUCUGAGUUGACCACAGAAUCUCUUGACCUCGGUUAUAGUAGUCCUGGUGCCCAAUCUUCAAGCAGAUCUUUUAAAGGCUGGUUUCGAUACAGUACCAGUAAUGAUGCUGAUUCUGUUGAUGCUCGACCAACUAAUAGCUUUGUUGAAGAGCAAUCAUCUAAUCCUCAAAAUAGUAGUAACAAAAAUACCAGUCCAGGAUUCAAGAAAUCAAGUGAUGUGCAUAUGCCUGUUACUAGAGAUGCUACAUGUUAUAAUAUGGAUCAUGAAUAUCGAGGUAUAGCUGUUAUCAUUAAUAAUGAUGUUUUUGAAGGACCUGCUCAAAAUUUACCUGAACGAAUUGGUUCAUGGAAAGAUGUUUUAGAAUUGAAAACAAUGUUCUGUCGAUUAGAUUUUAAAGUUGUAAUUUGGAAUAAUUUGAUACUUGAAGAAUUGAAUUAUCGUUUAAACAAAUUAUCUAAUGAUGAUCAUUCUGAUAAUGAUUGCCUUGCCUUGGUCGUGUUGACUCAUGGAAUUAAUUCUUCAUAUAUAUAUGCUAAAGACAAUCCAUAUCCAGUAGAAUCUUUAUGGAAUUCAUUCACACCUGAUAAAUGUACAACUCUGGCUGGAAAACCCAAAAUGUUUUUUGUACAAGCAUGUCGUGGAGAAAAGCUCGAUGCUGGUAUUAAAUUGAGUAGAGAAUCACAAACUGAAGUUGAUUCUUUAACUGCCGCAUACAAAAUUCCUAUUCAUGCAGAUUUCUUAAUUGCUUUCAGUACUUAUGAUGGUUAUUAUUCAUUCAGGCAUCCUGAAAAUGGAACAUGGUUUAUUCAGAGUUUAUGUAUUGAAAUGAAUAAACAUGAUCAUAGAACCAUUGAUUUAUUAGGAAUAAUGACUCGUGUUUCUAGAAGAGUGGCUAUCGAUCAUGAAUCUUUCAAUCCAGAAUACCCAUGGUUACAUCAACAAAAACAAAUACCUACUAUUCAUUCAAUGCUCAUUAGAGAUGUAUUUUUUAAACCUAAGAAGAAACCUCCACCUGAACCAGAAGUUAUUUUAUAAAUUGCAUUGUCAGUGCCUAAAAUCUGUAUUCAAAGUCAAAGCCAUCAAUAAACAACUGGACAUCAAAUUUUCAGCAAUCAAAUAAGGCAUACAAAAAUUAAUUUUUCGUAUAAGUGUAAGGGAAUAUGAUAUAAUUUUGUUCUAAUUUAAUCAAAUCUGAACAAAGACAAGUCAGCUCAAGAUUGACAGUGCUUUAUCAAAAGUGUUAGAUAGCCAUUUUUAAUUUUACUUUAAUAUUACGAUUUUGAAUCUAUUUUUAAUUAUAUUUACCAUAAUUUAUAAUAUGUGUUCGUAUUUGAUAUUGCGCCAAAUGAAUUUCUGAUUAAAUUGUAAAUUAUUAAAUAAAAGCUACUACAGAACUA
rnacentral:misc_RNA from 1 species